GUGCUUGCUUCAGCAGUACAUAUAAACACAAUUGGAAUGAUAUAUAGAAGACGAGCACAGUCCCUGCAAAAGAAUGAUAGACAAAUUUGUGAAAUGUUUCAUUUUAAA
rnacentral:snRNA from 1 species